CAUAGAAAAAAUGAAAAAUGAAAGAAUAAAAUUUACUUUAUUUGCAUAACUUCCAGACUGAGUGCCUCAAUAUUUGAUUACCAAGAUCCAGUGCAACCUGUUAUAGAGCAGGAGGAGCUGAGCAGAUUGCUACUCUUGCUUUUUUACUUCCUGAACAGCUAUCAGUACAGGAGGGAGGUGAUGGCAUUGUGUGCAUACAGAGGUAGCUGUCGGUCACUGGUCACACCUCCCUUCUGUACUGAUAUAGCAGAGAUAAAUUGCAGGCUUUACUGAAUCCUUUCCCACAAAUGUAUAUCCAGUGCUUCAGCUGGAGAGAAACUACAACUUCCAGAAUGCCUCGUUCACUUCUGUGGGAGUGCUUGCAUGAUAGGAGUUGGUUUCACAGCAGCUGGAGUGCUGAAGGUUGCUGACCCCUGCUCUGUAAUAUGGUGCUUUCAGAAUGCAUUGCAUCUUUGGGUGACAGGUCCUCUUUAAAAGGGGUUGGCAGCUUUUUUGCAGGGGGAGGGGUAGAAUGCCCUCAGCUGGCUAGACCUGCAAACAAGAAAUAUACUUAUCUGCUUCCUGUCCUUGGAUACCUCAGUUGGGUUUCCCGCCAUCAGCAUCCACUCUGACAGUGGCCUGCUCCCCUUGCGUUGUCAGUUGGUCAUGUGACACAAGGGGCAAGUCACUGCUGCAGGCAGUGAUUGGCUGCAGCUGGUAACAGGUGACCCAGCAGUGGGGAUCAGGUAAGUAUGCUUCCCUUUUCUAGGUCUAGCCAGGAGUAGGUUUGCCAAAACCCAGUCUCCAAAAGGUGGCCCCCCACCCCCUUUAGGCUUUUUGGCUGCUUUUUGAUUGUGCACCAUGCAGAUUCCAAGUGCUUGGCACUAAAAUCUGUACAAGUCAAAGCGAGAUCAGCACCAAACAGCUGAUAUGUAUUGCCAUAUUGAAAACUGAUAUAUAGCUGUAUUAACUCACAGGUGCUGACUCGAGGUAUUAACUUGGCAUGUGCUCGACUGUGGUAUACUGGAGUUAAUCAUGGACUACAGACUGUAAGGCUUCAAGAACUGUUGGGAAGAUGUCCUGUGGACGACCUACUCGAUCCAUUAAAUCAAUUUAUGGAUUCCUUUUAUACUUUUAAAUAAAGCUUUUAUUUUUAUACUUAUCA